AUGAACGCUAGCUACAGGCUUAACACAUGCAAGUCGAGGGGCAGCAUGGUCUUAGCUUGCUAAGGCCGAUGGCGACCGGCGCACGGGUGAGUAACACGUAUCCAACCUGCCGUCUACUCUUGGACAGCCUUCUGAAAGGAAGAUUAAUACAAGAUGGCAUCAUGAGUCCGCAUGUUCACAUGAUUAAAGGUAUUCCGGUAGACGAUGGGGAUGCGUUCCAUUAGAUAGUAGGCGGGGUAACGGCCCACCUAGUCUUCGAUGGAUAGGGGUUCUGAGAGGAAGAUCCCCCACAUUGGAACUGAGACACGGUCCAAACUCCUACGGGAGGCAGCAGUGAGGAAUAUUGGUCAAUGGGCGAGAGCCUGAACCAGCCAAGUAGCGUGAAGGAUGACUGCCCUAUGGGUUGUAAAUUUCUUUUAUAAAGGAAUAAAGUCGGGUAUGGAUACCCGUUUGCAUGUACUUUAUGAAUAAGGAUCGGCUAACUCCGUGCCAGCAGCCGCGGUAAUACGGAGGAUCCGAGCGUUAUCCGGAUUUAUUGGGUUUAAAGGGAGCGUAGAUGGAUGUUUAAGUCAGUUGUGAAAGUUUGCGGCUCAACCGUAAAAUUGCAGUUGAUACUGGAUAUCUUGAGUGCAGUUGAGGCAGGCGGAAUUCGUGGUGUAGCGGUGAAAUGCUUAGAUAUCACGAAGAACUCCGAUUGCGAAGGCAGCCUGCUAAGCUGCAACUGACAUUGAGGCUCGAAAGUGUGGGUAUCAAACAGGAUUAGAUACCCUGGUAGUCCACACGGUAAACGAUGAAUACUCGCUGUUUGCGAUAUACGGCAAGCGGCCAAGCGAAAGCGUUAAGUAUUCCACCUGGGGAGUACGCCGGCAACGGUGAAACUCAAAGGAAUUGACGGGGGCCCGCACAAGCGGAGGAACAUGUGGUUUAAUUCGAUGAUACGCGAGGAACCUUACCCGGGCUUAAAUUGCAGAUGAAUUACGGUGAAAGCCGUAAGCCGCAAGGCAUCUGUGAAGGUGCUGCAUGGUUGUCGUCAGCUCGUGCCGUGAGGUGUCGGCUUAAGUGCCAUAACGAGCGCAACCCUUGUUGUCAGUUACUAACAGGUUCCGCUGAGGACUCUGACAAGACUGCCAUCGUAAGAUGUGAGGAAGGUGGGGAUGACGUCAAAUCAGCACGGCCCUUACGUCCGGGGCUACACACGUGUUACAAUGGGGGGUACAGAGGGCCGCUACCACGCGAGUGGAUGCCAAUCCCAAAAACCUCUCUCAGUUCGGACUGGAGUCUGCAACCCGACUCCACGAAGCUGGAUUCGCUAGUAAUCGCGCAUCAGCCACGGCGCGGUGAAUACGUUCCCGGGCCUUGUACACACCGCCCGUCAAGCCAUGGGAGCCGGGGGUACCUGAAGUGCGUAACCGCGAGGAGCGCCCUAGGGUAAAACUGGUGACUGGGGCU
rnacentral:rRNA from 1 species